ensembl:lncRNA
CUGAACGUGUCACAAAAAAGGGACGCAACUGGCCGAGGGGCGCGUCAAUUGUGGGAUCUCCACUCUGGACAGAACACACUAUUACCGUCUCAGCAUCAAAACAGUCAAUAAUAAAAACAACAACUGCUAGCACAGAAGGCGGGACGUGGGCAAGAUGGUAAUCUCAGGCUGAGUGCAGACGUUUACUGCAAAAGAAACAGUUUGUUACACCAACAUUUCAUCAGAUCCGCCUGUGACAAAACAAAAGAGUCAUCUCUCCUGCUUCUCAACUCCAGCACUGCAGCACCAUGCAGAUUUUAGAGAGGAGCAGAGGAGGUAUAGAAAGAGAGGGAGGGCUGCAUGAAUAAUUGUUGAAGAUAUUUUUACUGUGACCCACUUUAAAGUCAAAUUUAAACCUCUUAAAGGAGCAGCGCUCCGCUCCUCUCCCAUCCCGAGACUGCGGAAAACCGCAGCGGGUCGAGAUCAGCCCUGAUGAAAUUCACAAUUUGUUCGAAAACAAAAGGAAUUAGUCACUUUUUUCAAAUCACUCCUCUUUUAUUUCACGUUUUUAGAUGUCUGAAAGAAUGGAAAUAAACAAAGCUGAGAGCGGCUCCAUUGAUCGGAGGAGCCAUUUCUCCUGUCGUGCAAACAUCUGGCUGGAGGCCCUGGUGUGUGCGGAGCAGGGGACAGAUGAGCUGUCGCUGUGUCUGACUGAUGAGGCUGGUCGCUAGAGGACGGUCACCAUGGAGAUAAUAGGUCAGAGAGGCCAGAGAGGUCACACUGAAUUCAUUCCAAAAUCUACUGGAGCAAAAACAAACAUAUUCGGAGAGUGAACAAGCAAUUCGGGUAAUGAUAAGGAAAGGGUAAACUGACAUUCUGUAGACAUGCAUAACUAUGCAUAACAUAUCUGAGGAAAUAUAUUCUAAUUAUAUUAUGCAUAUUAAAAUAGACAUACUAUAGAUUAUAUAAAUUAAAGCAAACUAGCAGCAUUUCUAAUUCUCAAAUGAAUCGGAUUAUCACUAGAAUGUGUUCAUCAUGAAUGUAUCUUUCGAUCUAUUUUAUUUGUGAUUAACCAAAAUUAUCAC